rnacentral:tRNA from 1 species
CACUAGGAAGCUAUUUGUGCUUUCAGCGUUAGCCUUUUAAGCUAAAGAUUGGUGCCUGCCAACCACCCCUAGUGG